GACAGAGGGUGCAAGCGUUGUUCGGAAUUACUGGGCGUAAAGGGCGUGUAGGCGGUUGGGUAAGUCGGAUGUGAAAUCAUCAUCGCUUAACGAGAUGUCCGCAUUGGAAACUGUCCAACUUGAGUAUAGGAGAGGAGAACGGAAUUCCUGGUGUAGCGGUGGAAUGUGUAGAGAUCAGGAGGAACACCUGUGGCGAAGGCGGUUCUCUGGCCUAAUACUGACGCUGAGGCGCGAAAGCUAGGGUAGCAAACCGG
rnacentral:rRNA from 1 species